rnacentral:rRNA from 1 species
CACGAGCGCACCCUCGUCCUUAGUUGCCAUCAUUUAGUUGGGCACUCUAAGGAAACCGCCGGUGAUAAGCCGGAGGAAGGUGGGGAUGACGUCAAGUCCUCAUGGCCCUUACACGCUGGGCUACACACGUGCUACAAUGGCGGUGACAGUGGGCUGCAAACCAGCAAUGGUGAGCUAAUCUCCAAAAGCCGUCUCAGUUCGGAUUGUUCUCUGCAACUCCAGAGCAUGAAGGUGGAAUCGCUAGUAAUCGCGGAUCAGCAUGCCGCGGUGAAUACGUUCCCAGGCCUUGUACACACCGCCCGU